UGGCAAGAGAAAUUUUAUUUCGUGCAUAAAUUUACAGUUUAUUACCUAAUCUCGGUCAUCAUACC
rnacentral:tRNA from 1 species